GAAAUCAGUUCAGCACUAAGUCACUUUGUCUAUAUGGCAAAUGUGAGAUGCAGUGUAUGGAACAUCAAUAUUCUAGUAUGAGAAAUUAACGAUUUAAGUCCUUCUUAAAUGAGGCCAUUUACCCAUAGAGGGUGCCAGGCCCGUAUAACGUUAAUGAUUAUUAGAUGGUGUUUCCAAAGAGUCGUGUUGCUUGAUAGUGCAGCACUAAGUGGGUGGUAAACUCCAUCUAAAACUAAAUAUAACCAUGAGACCGAUAGUAAACAAGUACCGUGAGGGAAAGUUGAAAAGAACUCUGAAUAGAGAGUUAAAUAGUACGUGAAACUGCUUAGAGGUUAAGCCCGAUGAACCUGAAUAUCCGUUAUGGAAAAUUCAUCAUUAGAGUUGUAAUAUUUAAACAAUAUUAUAAUAAUAGUGUGCAUUUUUUCCAUAUAAGGACAUUGUAAUCUAUUAGUAUCAAUAAUUUAUCAAAAAAUUUAAGAAAAUAGUUUAUUUCAAUUAAAAUGCUUGCGUUUUAACACAAAAUAAAUUUCAUAAAUUUGAUAAAGUGCUGAUAGAUUUAUAUGAAUACAGUGCGUUAAUUUUUCGGAAUUAUAUAAUGGCAUGAUUAUCAUUGAUUUUUAUGUUUAUUAUAUGCACUUGUAUGAUAACAAUGCGAAAG
rnacentral:rRNA from 1 species